rnacentral:rRNA from 1 species
UACGGAGGAUGCAAGCGUUAUCCGGAAUGAUUGGGCGUAAAGCGUCCGUAGGCGGCUAUGUAAGUCUGCUGUUAAAGAGUCUAGCUCAACUAGAUAAGAGCAGUGGAAACUACAUGGCUAGAGUGCGUUCGGGGCAGAGGGAAUUCCUGGUGUAGCGGUGAAAUGCGCAGAUAUCAGGAAGAACACCCGUGGCGAAGGCGAUUCUCUGGGACGGUACUGACGCUGAGACGCGAAAGCGUGGGGAGCGAACAGG